rfam:TPA: Bos taurus chromosome 23, whole genome shotgun sequence.
CCAAAGGCCCUUUUCAGGGCCACCCAACUACUCUAAAAAAAGCUGU